CUUGCUUCUCUGAUGGUUAGCGGCGGACGGGUGAGUAACACGUAGGCAACCUGCCCUCAAGCUUGGGACAACUACCGGAAACGGUAGCUAAUACCGAAUAGUUGUUUUCUUCUCCUGAAGAGAACUGGAAAGACGGAGCAAUCUGUCACUUGGGGAUGGGCCUGCGGCGCAUUAGCUAGUUGGUGGGGUAACGGCUCACCAAGGCGACGAUGCGUAGCCGACCUGAGAGGGUGAUCGGCCACACUGGGACUGAGACACGGCCCAGACUCCUACGGGAGGCAGCAGUAGGGAAUCUUCCGCAAUGGGCGAAAGCCUGACGGAGCAAUGCCGCGUGAGUGAUGAAGGUUUUCGGAUCGUAAAGCUCUGUUGCCAGGGAAGAACGCUUGGGAGAGUAACUGCUCUCAAGGUGACGGUACCUGAGAAGAAAGCCCCGGCUAACUACGUGCCAGCAGCCGCGGUAAUACGUAGGGGGCAAGCGUUGUCCGGAAUUAUUGGGCGUAAAGCGCGCGCAGGCGGUCAUUUAAGUCUGGUGUUUAAUCCCGGGGCUCAACCCCGGAUCGCACUGGAAACUGGGUGACUUGAGUGCAGAAGAGGAGAGUGGAAUUCCACGUGUAGCGGUGAAAUGCGUAGAUAUGUGGAGGA
rnacentral:rRNA from 1 species